UGGCAUGCAUAGGGGUAAUGUAAAGGGCUUAACUUUUGGAGAUGCUGAUUCUACUAUGCGUUUCAUCUGUGCACUGUGGGACUGAGAUCUAUAAAAGAGCAGGAUUAGAAACGGUCUACUCAUUUUUGCACAGAGGAGCAUACGUUUAUGAUGCUUCCUCAUUUGCAGCGCGUGCACCUGCGGUUAGGCGGGGAGGCUGUUAGCAUCACCGCGCGCGUGCAGUCUUUUAAUUCUACUUUAUUCUUCUUCUCAUUGUUAUCAUGAUCAUUUCUUAAAAAGAAUCUGAUGUCAUUUGGCCUCGCUAGUUCUGUAUUCACGCCUCCGAUCACGCAAAGCACAGUCAAUAUUCCACGCCUUUUCCACUACAUAAACUGCAUCACGGAAUUAUUAUGCACCGCGCGUGCUGUUUACUUUAGUGCCAACUUCACUAUCAUCACCGCUUAUCUACCGAUACGUUACCGAGAAAUGACAUAAACGAUACAAAAAUGCAUGAAAAUCAGCUUUAAAACUGUCUCCGCACUCAGCAUUUUUCCAGAAGAGAGAGAGAGAGAGAAGGAGGACAAGACAUUCCACCCUGCCAUUUAUUAGCCAAAGUGGAUUAAUGGUACACACCUGCUUUCCUGUACACAGCGUCACUGUAUUAGCUGGCGCAAAACGCAGCAAAAAUCCACCGAACAGCGACCGAGGCUCUCUUGGGGGAUGUGUGUGGGAGGGGAGGGGGGCGGCUUGGGCUCCCGAGUGUACUGUUUGACGACGCUAUAAGCCAUAAUAGGUGAAUUAAACUCCUUGCCUCUCGUCAGGAUCGAUCUCUCACACACACACACACACACUCCACUGCGCUGAAUGGCUAGCUCCAUACAAUAGUCAGACGAUAGCUAGCAUAAUAUAUACAAAUAUGGCCAGCUAGUCAGUUCGAUCAGUCAUUAUCCUUUUCUAAGAAAGUUCCAUCAACAAAAACUCGCAUGACUAUAAGCUGUGGUGUUUUCCUUCCACUGACACACACACACACACACACACACACACACACACACACACACACGCACGCGCACGGUUGGGAUUUUUUUUAUUGGCUUACUGCUUUGAUCUCUCGCUAUAUGUAUGAGAGACAAUCAGUGCACAUGUGGGCGCGUGUAUACACACACACACACACACACACACACACACACAUACCAUCACGACCUUCUUGACCUCGGUCACAGAAACUAUAACAAUAAACUAUAAAUAACCCCUUACAAUAAACGUCUCACCUGUGUGUACACCUCAGAAUGUGUGUGUGUGUAUAUACACACACACUGACCUCAGUAAUGGACCCUUAAAACGAAUGUUCCUAUAAACUGUCACGCAGGUGCUGUGUGAGGACCGUGUGUGUGUUCACAUCUUGUGUCUGUGUGUUCGCAGGGACAGGCUGUGACGGACUGUCUGGGCCUCAUGCCGAAAUUUUAUUAUUAUUAUUUUCUUUUUUUACAAAACUUUGUGUAGCUAAGCAUCAAUUAUGUGCAGUAUUAAUCAUGUCAGUGGAAGGUCCUCAUAAGGAUAGUAAGCGUGUGUGUGUGUGUGUGUGUGUGUGUUAGUAAGAGUUUAUCCAGACAACACUGAUAUCUGAUGUUAUUUAUUGAUGUGUAUACUCACACACACCUGACGUUGAAGCUUUGAGGUGUAAAUCCAUGUGUUGUCUGACCCCUGCGUUCCGGCCAAUCAGAUCGUCCCGUUCGGCGUGAGCGCUCCACUCUCGGAUAUAAACACGUUUUUCACGCGUCUCUUUGAUCUUGACCGUGCUCCAUAAACAUGCGACUUAUUUUCGUAAUCAGCUUCGAAUAAUUAUCUCUAACUUCCUGUGGCGAGUUUACACAACAGUGUUGAUUGCUUCAUUUUUUUUUUUUUUAUGUUUAAAAUCUAUGCUUCGUCAUUUUCUUGUGGUUGGUUUAAAAGUAGGCGGGGCCAUGAGGGAAACGGUCCCACGUGCGAUAUAACCAUGUUUCAGAGGUCGAAACCAGAGCAGCGAUAAAUCGGUUGAACGCGCGUCGUGAUGACGUCACGUGACUCGGUAUAUUUUGAAAAAUCGCACGCUCCUCCGAAUAUCGCGUAAACAUCGAUACGACGGUUAUUGAUCAGCGCGUUAUUUUCUCGGUGUCUUUGAGACGUCGACGGUGUACGUUUAAAAACGUAUAAACUUGCGCUUCAUAGCAAUCCUUCGACCCCUAUGACCUUUCGCUAAUGUUAAAUGACGAAUUUCCUGUUUACGAGAUCGGACACGCCCACAACAGUGUUUUAUUUAUUUAUUUGUUUGUUUGUUUAUUUAUUCGGAGCGCAGUUAAAGUGUGUAUAUUCUACACCUUGGGUAUUAUUUGUAAGCUUCAAUAAAAGAAGUAGCUUUUGUCCUCCUGUGCCUAAAAAAAAUAAAAACGCAACUGGGACUGUAAAUGAGUGUGUUUAGCAGCCCGCCGUGCCUUACUUCAGACACUACCUCUACUCGGUGCCAGGUAAAGUAAAAUGGAUUGAUACGCCGCUGUUUAAUUGAAAAGAUAUGACACGGUGUUUCAAUUUUAUUCACGGUCCCACAUGUGAAAUACCGCAGGGUUCAACCGUUAUUACACGACACACAGAGAGAGAGAGAGAGAGAGAGAGAGAGAGAGAGAGAGCGAGAGAGCGCUUACGUGCUGAAACACUGAAAAGUGCUGCACUUCCUGGCUAAGGUAAAAAAGUAAGGAACCAAUCAGACAUUGUAGUGCUGCCGUAGACCCCCCGAGUGAGACACGCGAGUCUGACAUAGGCCACGCCUCCCGGCCGCUACAGCACGGCAGGGUUCUACAGUGAUUGUUUAAAUGAUUUUUUUAACAGCACGCCAGGGUGAGUCCUCUGAAACGUCGUGUCGUGGGAUGAUCUCGGCCAGGAGGCGGGGCGAAUAUUCUGUCUUGAGAAUGUGAUGUUAACACUGGAGUAGAGAGUGUCAGCGUUUUUACUCUUUCACAGGCUGUAACACACUGCAAACACACACACACACACACACACACACACACACACACACACACACACACACACACACUUCCCUGUUUCAGGGGCUUGAGAUUAAACUGCAGAGAGAACAUGCUGGUCCAGCGAACCAAUUCAUUUUCACACAGAGAGAGAGAGAGAGAGAGACAGACAGACAGACAGACAGAGAGAGGGAGAGAGACAGGGGGAGAGAGACAGACAGACAGACAGAGAGAGAGCGAGAGAGAGAGUCAGGUAGAUACAGGGGAGAGAGAGAGAGAGA